rnacentral:rRNA from 1 species
CGGGACGGGUGAGUAAUGCUUGGGAAUCUAGCUUAUGGAGGGGGAUAACUACGGGAAACUGUAGCUAAUACCGCGUAGAAUCGGGAGAUGAAAGUGUGGGACCUUCGGGCCACAUGCCAUAGGAUGAGCCCAAGUGGGAUUAGGUAGUUGGUGAGGUAAAGGCUCACCAAGCCGACGACCUCUAGCUGGUCUGAGAGGAUGACCAGCCACACUGGGACUGAGACACGGCCCAG